AUGGCGUGUUCUUGCUGUCCUCUUCUCUUAGUGAUAUUUAUUGCUCGCUCCUCGUCUAAAGAAAAGGCAUCUACUUCGACCAAGGCUGCAGACCUUGAUGAAACAUCUUCCUAUCGUUGCUGCUGCUCGCUGCUACUAGUACUACAGCCCUUAGUUGCUCGAAUGGAAGUUUUCCGAGCUGGCCGUGCAAACAAUGGAAGCGGCAGUUCGACCAUGGUGAGUAUUGCUAGGGCUGAAGAUGCAUUUGCAGGCACCAUGGUCCCUGUUGGAGUGCUGGUGAAGAUGUUGAGGCCUUGA
rnacentral:rRNA from 1 species